rnacentral:tRNA from 1 species
GGAUUGUGGCUCAGUGGUAGAACACUUGCCUAGCAUGCAUGAGGCAUUGGGUUUGAUCCCCGAUACCA